rnacentral:rRNA from 1 species
CCUACGGGGGGCAGCAGUGGGGAAUAUUGGACAAUGGGCGAAAGCCUGAUCCAGCCAUGCCGCGUGUGUGAAGAAGGCCUUCGGGUUGUAAAGCACUUUCAGUGGGGAAGAAAGCCUUGGGGCUAAUACCCUCGAGGAAGGACAUCACCCACAGAAGAAGCACCGGCUAACUCCGUGCCAGCAGCCGCGGUAAUACGGAGGGUGCGAGCGUUAAUCGGAAUUACUGGGCGUAAAGCGCGCGUAGGCGGUCUGAUAAGCCGGUUGUGAAAGCCCCGGGCUCAACCUGGGAACGGCAUCCGGAACUGUGAGGCUAGAGUGCAGGAGAGGAAGGUAGAAUUCCCGGUGUAGCGGUGAAAGGCGUAGAGAUCGGGAGGAAUAACAGUGGCGAAGGCGGCCUUCUGGACUGACACUGACGCUGAGGUGCGAAAGCGUGGGUAGCAAACAGGAUUAGAUCCCCAGUAGUC